rnacentral:misc_RNA from 1 species
GGAAGGAUCAUUACUGAAAUUACAUGAUAAAGCUGUUGCUGGCCACUCGCUGUGCACGCUUGUCAUUCUCACAUCCACUUGUGCACCAUUUGUAGACAUUUUAGUGUAUCUGAGCCCCUUGGCUCAGAUGAUUGGGGGACUGCUUAGCUUUCCCUGUGAUCUGUCUAUGACCAUUUUUCAUACACAGCUAGUAUUGAUGUCUUGUAAUCAUGACAAAUAUACAACUUUCAGCAACGGAUCUCUUGGCUCUCGCAUCGAUGAAGAACGCAGCGAAAUGCGAUAAGUAAUGUGAAUUGCAGAAUUCAGUGAAUCAUCGAAUCUUUGAACGCAACUUGCGCUCCUUGGUAUUCCGAGGAGCAUGCCUGUUUGAGGGUCAUUAUUAUCUCAACUCCUAUAGCUUUUUUGUUAUGGACAGUUGGAUUUGGAGGAUUUGUGCAGGCAAAUUGGUCUGCUCCUCUGAAAUGCAUUGGCAGCAUUUGCGUGAAGGGGGGAGACCUGCUUUGGAUGUGAUAAUUAUCUGCAUUCAAUGGAACUUCACCUGGCUGAUAUUAAACGCUCAUUUGCUUGACCUCAAAUCAGGUAGGACUACCCGCUGAACUUAAGCAUAUCAAUAAGCGGAGGAAAAGAAACUAACAAGGAUUCCCUUAGUAACUGCGAGUGAAGUGGGAAGAGCUCAAAUUUGUAAUCUGGCAGCUCUAUAGUUGUCCGAAUUGUAAUCUGGAGAAGUGUUGCCUGUGCUGGACCAUGUACAAGUCUCCUGGAAUGGAGCAUCAUAGAGGGUGAGAAUCCCGUCUUUGACAUGGACUCCCAGGACUUUAAUGGUACGCUCUCAAAGAGUCGAGUUGUUUGGGAAUGCAGCUCAAAAUGGGUGGUAAAUGCCAUCUAAAGCUAAAUACUGGCGAGAGACCGAUAGCGAACAAGUACCGUGAGGGAAAGAUGAAAAGAACUUUGGAAAGAGAGUUAAACAGUACGUGAAAUUGCUGAAAGGGAAACGCUUGAAGUCAGUCACACCAUUUGGAAAUCAACCUUUGCUUUUGCUUGGUGUACUUUCUAUCUGGUGGGUCAGCAUCAAUUUUGGCUGCUGGAUAAAGUUCUUGGGAAUGUAGCAUCUUAGGAUGUGUUAUAGCUCUUGGACGCAUACAGCAGUUGGGAUUGAGGAACUCAGCACGCCACAUUGGCUGGGCUUGUCCACAUAACGUGCUUAGGAUGCUGGCAUAAUGGCUUUAAUCGACCCGUCUUGAAACACGGACCAAGGAGUCUAACAUGCCUGCAAGUGUUUGGGUGGAAAACCCAUGCGCGUAAUGAAAGUGAUGGUUGAGAUCCCUGUCAUGGGGAGCACCGACGCCCAGACCAGACCUUUUGUGACGGAUCUGCGGUAGAGCAUGUAUGUUGGGACCCGAAAGAUGGUGAACUAUGCCUGAAUAGGGUGAAGCCAGAGGAAACUCUGGUGGAGGCUCGUAGCGAUUCUGACGUGCAAAUCGAUCGUCAAAUUUGGGUAUAGGGGCGAAAGACUAAUCGAACCAUCUAGUAGCUGGUUCCUGC